rnacentral:lncRNA from 1 species
AUGGAACUUAAAAGGGAAUAUGGAUGAUAAAGGGGCUCACGUACAGGUUCAUAUGGGAAUGCUUGCUUGGGCUUAGUGGGCUAUGCCCAUUAGGCCCAUGUGCCGGUCAUGGCCCAAAAAUUGGGCUGUUACAAUGUUGGUAUCAGAGCUCUAGGUUUAGUCUAGUCCUAGGGAUUCUCGUGUCAGUUAAUGGAGUUGUCAGAGUUAAUGUAGAGUCUUGUUUGUUAUUUGUGAUUGCAGCACAAGUCAUUGAUAGGAGGCUACAUAAACUCCUGUUCCUAGUAACCUACCUUUUUGCUAACCUCAUGUAAAGGUCAUAAGUGGUGCCGUCAUUCAGGUUUGAGAUGUCACCCGAGACACGAGUUGUUGUUGGAAGAUUUUAAGUAAAUGUUCCUAAUAAAAGUUUAGUGUGAUGGUAUAUCCCUUCGAUUAAGGAUGGGGGAAAGUGGAGUUGGAUUAGUACAUCCAUGAUAACUUGUUCAUUUGGUGGAGUUAAAAAAUUUGAGCCCAAGAUUGUCAAUGGGAAGAAAAUUUGAUGACUAUGAAUUGUAUUUGGGGUCAAUAUAGAGGAGCAUGUGUGAUAAUGGUAAUAAGGGGCGUACUUUGACUGGAAUGACUAGUGGUUGCUGUAAAUGAGGUGUGGUCAUCAAGAAAAAGUCUAGUAAACCAAACUUGUCACGACCGGUACUCCCCUCGAGCCCAUGACAACCGCCGCGACAUCCCGAUAGAUAUUCAUUGCUCGGAAUGCCAACCGAAACCUCGCAAGGGUUUAAUAUCAGUUUCUCAUUUCCCCUGUGUGUAACUGUUGCCAAAUAUCAUGUUCUAAAGGAUUUUAAGCUAUUUCUAACUUAAAUCAAUAAAAAAAUGAUUUCUGUUUCACAGGGGCAUUUUGGUCAUUUUUCCUUAAAAUCUCGAAACCAGCCAAAAAUAUAGUAUGCGAAUGGAAAACACAUAUUUCAUAAUAAAAAAUAAGUUUAGAUGACUAAAACAUUCAUUUAAAGCGAAACUAUAACUAUUUGAAUAUAAUAAAAAUAUUCAAUAAAAUAUUCUAUUUUCUUAUAAAACAAUAUUUAUAGAGUUCCCAGUAAAUAAUUUUUGUAGCGUAAAAGCUAAAUAAAUUCAUACAUAUUGUAAUACAGAUAACCAAAGCAUAAGAUUUAAUUUACAAUGACACAUGAGCCCACGAACGACCAAAAGUAUCAAAAGCGGUAAACCUACAGUUUUUGAUGAUGCAAGUCUAACUGUAACCCUUAUCAAUGUGAGCUAUCUACCAACUAUCCUGAGCCUAAAAUGGGUGGAAAUGAGGGUGGUGAGAUUAUAUAAUCCUAGUGAGUAAACAAAUACCAUCUAAAAUAUCUAACACUGAGUAAAUGGAGACAAAUAAAAUAGUUUAACAUACUGUAAUUCAUCACAUUUCAAGCAAAUAAAAUCAAUUCAUAUAAAUCGAGUAAUCAACAUGGCUUAUGAAUUUUUUAAAACUUUGGUUCGUGCCAAAAUCAUUCUCAUACUCAGUUAUCAGGGAUACCUUGACUGAGGGUUAUCCCAACCGAGUCCGCCAAGGCUGUUAAAAAGUUAUGUACGCAUAAAUCAUGUUUUUAUUUUAAAACAUAGCCGUUCCUUGGCAUUGGCUGAGUUCACCCUCACGUGGUGGUUUGGCGUGAAGUGAACUCUAAAGUGUUAACCUUAGGAGUUAUCCAUCCGCGCCUCUCAUACUGAGGUAUGAAUAUAAUAAAGUUACCGUGCCCCCUCUAAUAGGCUGGUCCACGGAACCUGUCCACUGCAAUGACUAAUCAAUAACCCACCAAUUCAAUAAAAUUUAACAGCAUGACAUGGCAAUUUUAUCAUUAUCCAGCCUAUCAAGGCAAACAACAGUUUAUAAAUUUUCAACACAAAUACCAAUUCAACCAUUCAUGCCAAUAUUAUCAUAAGCCAUUCAAUUCAAACCAUGAUUUAUAACACAGCAAUUAGUCUCCAAUUACUCCAUUUUCAAAACCAUCUUUCAAUUUCAAGAUAAUUUUAUAAAAUCAUUUCAUUUAAACACAUUUUGUUUAUAAAACAUAAAGAUUUACCAUUUAAACUUAUUUUCCAUAAAAUCACAAAAUUAGAUAAAAACCACUUUAGACAAUUAAGACGAUAGUAAGGUUACUCACUAUUUUGGGAGUCAAAUUCCGAGUACUCCGAUUCUUGAUCCUCAAGUACUAUCUCUUUACUUUUGCCAGAAUGCUCACCACCUGGACAUAAUGCAUAAUAAGCCAUUUACUACAUUUGUGCUAAAUUGUUAUAAAACCAAUUCAAGCUCUAUACUAAUGCAUGAAAUGGGAUGUAAAUUGUUCGAAUUAUCAUCUAAACACGAUGAUCUACACAAAUUCAAUUGUGUACCUAAAUAAAACGGUAUUGGCCUAAUUCGAUCUAUCACCCGAUUAAUUGGCCAAUACGUCCAAUUCAACUCCAAAUAAUUCCAUUUUUCUUCCAAUUCUCCAAACCAUCAAACACAAGUUAAAUAACUUGAAAUAUGGCAAAAUCAUCCUCAGAUUUUCUCUUGGAAAAUUUGGCCAUGGUGGGUGCAUCAACACUAUAAUUUUUCAAGCUUGAUUCUCACACCAUAAAUUACUAAUUCCUAACCAGAUCACUUGAAAUAAAAUCAAAAUCAUCAUCAAUACUCUACAAGGAAGAUUCGGCCAAUGGAGGUUCUUGAGGGGUAUACGGUUUUUCAUGCUCAACAUUACCAUUUUCGGUUUCUACCAACACAAUUCAUUAAAUUUUAACUAAAUAACAUAAGACAUCACAAGAUUCAUCUUCAAUAUUGCCUUUAUGAAAUUCGGCCAAUGAAGAAUCCAUGAAGAACAUGUAAUUUUUCUUACUUGUUUUCCUUCCAAACAUGAUAAAUCAACUAUAAACACUAAAAUAUCUCAAAAUCUAACCAAAUAAAUCAUCAAAUCUUCUCUCUCUAAAUUCGUUCAGCCAUGAAUCCUUCAUGAUAUCUUGUGAUUCAAUCAUGGAAAAUGCAAAAGAAUGCAUGGGAAAGGUAGAUCACAAGUCAAAAUAAAGAAAUUUUACCUUUGAUUGCUUGAUUACUUGAAAUCCACCAAUUUUCUCUUGAAUUUUCACCCUAGGGUUCUUGUUCUUUCUUUUCUUCCUUUGUUCUUGCUUUGGCCAGCCAUAUGAAG